AUGGACUGCUGCAAGCAUCUCGGAGUUGGAAUACGCUUUGAUGAGGUGAUCAAAGCAUAUGGUUUUAUACAAACUUUCGGAGAAGUCUGUAUUUACAAGAAAGUGAGUGCGGGAUCUAUAGCAUUUCUAAUAUUACAUGUGAAUGACAUACUGUUGAUUGGAAAUGAUGUAGAAUUUCUCGAUAGCAUAAAAGGAUACUUGAAUAAAAGUUUUUCGAUGAAAGACCUCGGUGAGGCUGCUUAUAUAUUGGGCAUCAAGAUCUAUAGAGAUAGAUCAAGAUGCUUAAUAGGACUUUCACAAAGCACAUACCUUGACAAAGUUUUGAAGAAGUUCAAAAUGGAUCAGUCAAAAAAGGGGUUCUUGCAUGUGUUGUAA
rnacentral:rRNA from 1 species